rnacentral:rRNA from 1 species
GGGGCACGCCGCCUUCGGCGAACGUUCCGGCGUCGUAGUCGUGCACUUCUCCCCUAGUAGAACGUCGCGACCCGUUGUGUGUCGGUCUACGGCCCGAGCGGUAGCCUGUCGCUUCGCCUCGUGCGUUCGCGGCAGACCCUCGGUCGCCCGGCCGGCUGCACGACGGUACUCGCACGGUGUCGGGCCGCAACCAAUCCAUUUUCGAAUGUGUGUGCGUCAGGCCCGCCGCAAGCUCGGUCAGUUUACCCGGAGGCACGGACCUGGUGUGCCGUCCCCGGGCCUGGCCAGCUGUUGGCAGGCGGUGUCCUCGGACUGGCCAAGCUUCGAACUACCGGUCGGCGACGCUAUUGCUUUGGGUACUCUCAGGACCCGUCUUGAAACACGGACCAAGGAGUCUAACAUGUGCGCGAGUCAUUGGGAUCUAUUAAACCUAAAGGCGCAAUGAAAGUGAAGGU